GAACGUUCUGAUAUUAAUACCCUUUAAACCUUGAUAUUUCAUUAACCUUAUGAAAUUAAUGGGCAUGGGUAGGGUAGGGGUACUUGGAUAGGUAGAGGUAUGGUAGGAUAGGUGUAGAAUAGGAUAGGGGUAGGGAAUGAGUCAAAGCGAAGCUCCGGGUCCUUUAGUAUCUAUCUAUAUAUAUUUUUUUAAAUCUCUCAUUUAUUCAUUAGUCGAGAGGAACCUCGUCACAAUACGCGCCGUCUUAUCUGAUAAUUGCCUUCUGUAUCCAGCGCUUAAAGCGAAUGUUUCUUAAAAAUAUAGCGCUUAAUGCAUGAGAUAUUGUUUUUUAUUCUUUACAAGUUAGCCCUUGACCACAAUCUCACCUGAUGGUAAGUGUUGAUGCAGUAUAAGAUAGAAGCGGGCUAACUUGUUAGGAGGAGGAUGAAAAUCCUCACCCCUCUCGGUUUCUACACGACAUCUUUUAGUAGACUAGAAGUUCUUCAUUUUUAUGACAAGAAUUUUAUUAUAGACAAGAAUGCAUUUUUUUUGGAGCUCUUUACACAACGAUAACAUAUAAAAUAAUGAAACAAUGUUUCUAUAGGUACAGUUUUUAUAAACAGUUUAUGAUUCUUGACCCUGAAGUCGAAAUCAAAUAAAAAAUUGGAGUAAAUUCUCAAAAUUAUAGUGCAAAUAUAUGAAUAACUGAGCUUAAUACUUAUUGUAUAGGUAGUUAUGGAUUCAAUUCAAACAAAAAAAUAAUUUACAAAUGACGAAAACGCAUGUUUUUUAGUUUCAAUGAUUUUUUUUUAAUUUCAGUCUCUAUAUUUAUUAGCCAAACUCUAUCUUUGAAUCUUACUUAGUAUCUAUUCAAUUAUGAUUUCUAAUAGUUAAAGCUGAAAUCAAAAAUGCCGGACUGGAGUUGGUUGGUGAUGGCAGCACUGUUCGGAGCGGUCUCCGCGCUGUCCGUGCCACUGGCUCUCUUUCUCUACUUCGUGAGACCCUUCGAACAGAAGCGGCCAGCGGAAGAGGACUUCUUCAUACCCGUUACUUUACCACCGGAAAUUCUGAAUGAAUUGACUCGUGGCGCCGGGAGUACUCCCGAGGGGGCUCUCAACGCAAUGCUCCAGUUCAUCUUCCAGCAGAGCACAGCCGACACCAGGUGGCUGCGGCGGCGAAUGGCGAAUGAGUUGGCGGAACUGCUGGCGAAAACAUCCUCGGGAAAGAUUUUCGAAUCUCUAACGCUACGCUCGCUCGAAGUGGGCACAGAGUUCCCCAGCAUCACAAAUCUCCGUCUUGUCAACGGAGAGUUAGAGGAUGACGGGGCAAGGUUGCGGUCUCUAGACUUGAAGUUCGAUUUGCAGUAUGAUGGCAGCUUUAGAAUAGAAGUCGACGCUAUCAUGCUGUUGGGAAAAAUUGCCAACAUAUCUAUUACCGUGGAAAGCAUAAGUGGCAAUGUCCGUGUUUUGUUCCGUCGUACGCCAUAUACGCACUGGGCGAUAGCAUUCGAAACGCCUCCUCGAUUGGAACUGCGUGUACGAGGACGGUUCCAAGGAAGACAGCUGAAGCCACGACUCGCAGCACUUGUGGCCGCUCAUAUCAGACGAGCCGUGGCUCAACGGCACACACUUCCCAAUUACAAGAUUAGGUAUAAACCAUUUUUCCCAAAGUCCGAGCCAGGCAGCACCGACGGUGAGGACGGUCCAACGCCCCACGGUCGUCUUACGGUGCGACUGGUGGAGGUGACUAGACUACACUGGGCUGGUAGCAACGGGACAGUUCGCGCUGCGUUAGCCGUCGACUCACAUGGAUGGGUAUCACUUCGCCGCGGCAUCUUAGUUCUCGACGUGGUACUGCCAGCAGUGACCGGCCCAUUAGGGCUGGUAUGUUGUCAAGGAGUGGGAGUAGUAUUGGUGGACACCGUGGUGCCGAUGUCGCCCGCCUACAGAGCCGACUUACGCCGUGAUGACGUCGUGUUGGCCAUUGACAAUAAGCCAGUCAUUAAUGUUGCUCAAGUUGGAAAACUCUUACGAAGUGUUGAACGUCGGGCAGUCACAGUUAGGGUGAGACGAGGUGGUUCAGGAGGAUCCACGAGACGAGAGGACGAACCGAAGCGAUUGCGCACUAACUUCUCCUUCCGACGAGUUUCGGAGGUCAUGGAGGGCGUACGAAUUCAGGGCAUCCGAGCUGCAACGUCUAAAAAUAACCUAACUGAAACUGAUUCACCCUCGAAGACAGCAGAACAACAGUCUGAACCCGAGACACCAGUGAAGCAAAAAACGGAACCACAAACUAUAAGGCCAGCAUCUAAAUCUACGGAACCUGUUGGUCCGACAAACUUCGGAUUACGCAAACGCAGGUGUUCCGUAGAAAACAAAUCGUCAGACAGUUCAGCAGGAAGUACUCCACCGGCUUCAGGUGCAAGCACUCCUUUACGACAAGCGGUGACCACAAACAAAACUGUCAAACAUCCAGAUAUACCAGUAAUUAGAACUGAUUCAUCCGAAUGCAAAGUAUCCGAGAAGGCAGAAAACGUUUUGGAGGAAGAGGAAAUAUUUGAAACGGGCGGACCUAGACAAAGCGAACAUGUAGAAAUUUGCCAAAUGUUUUGGACAAAGUGUGUGCCAAUCAGGCCAAUCAUACCGUUUGAUGAAGAAACUGAAUUUAAAUUAAACGAGAAUCAUAAGUACCUGAAUAUAAAUGUAUGGUCAACAGUGCCGGGAGAGAAAGAUGAAAUACUAUUAGGUUAUUUGAAUAUACCGCUAGCGGCACUGCUGGGUGAGUGCCAAGACUCGACAGUUCCUCAUCACAUGAAACGAUACCAGUUUCUGCCGCCAGAUGUAGAUAUAAAGUUCAGCAAAACUCACAAAUUAUCAUCACAUGCGGGUUUCGAGCCGUGCCUAUGCUUCGGUGACGCCCUGGUCUGGUGGGAGUGGGAGGACGCGGGCAGCGCUCGGGUACCGCGGCCGGCGCCGAAGAACCAUCAACCUAGAGCACAACCAGCUAGAACUGUGCACGACUUUGUUAGAACGCACUUCCAUAGAUCAACACAAUGUGACUUUUGUAAUAAAAAGAUUUGGCUUAAAGAUGCAAUGCAGUGCCGCAACUGCGGUUUAUGCUGUCACAAGAAAUGCGUUACAAAAUGUCAGGAAACUUCACCGUGCGUGCCGAGACAAGAUCGAGAUCAGUCAUCAGGAGUGGGAUGCCCUCCACCAGAGCUCACCAUGACUGAACCUGACACCAUCGCAGAUCCCGAUUCGGAUGAUGACGAAAAAUCUGAACGAAAAGACUCCCUAGACGUCCAAGAAGAAGACGAGCUACUACAGUGGUGACGAAAUCAUUAACACACCCGGACUCUUCCAACACGUACCGACACAUUAUACUCAGGUGGUGGAGCUAUGAGUGCGCUGGUGGCGGGGUUGAGGCGCGCGGGCUCGGCGCACUCCUUGUCUGCGCCGAGGAGCAACGCGUCCUCGCGGUCUUUGCCGCCCUCACCCAGUCAUACUCCCA